UACGAAGGGGGGCUAGCGUUGUUCGGAAUCACUGGGCGUAAAGGGCGCGUAGGCGGCUUUAUAAGUCGGGGGGUGAAAGCCUGUGGCUCAACCACAGAAUUGCCUUCGAUACUGUAGAGCUUGAGACCGGAAGAGGUAAGUGGAACUGCGAGUGUAGAGGUGAAAUUCGUAGAUAUUCGCAAGAACACCAGUGGCGAAGGCGGCUUACUGGUCCGGUUCUGACGCUGAGGUGCGAAAGCGUGGGGGAGCAAACAGG
rnacentral:rRNA from 1 species